rnacentral:rRNA from 1 species
UACGUAGGUGACCAGCGUUGUCCGGAUUUACUGGGCGUAAAGAGCGCGCAGGCGGUCGUUCAAGUCGAGUGUGAAAGCCCCCGGCUCAACUGGGGAGGGUCAUUCGAUACUGAUCGACUUGAAGGCAGGAGAGGGAAGCGGAAUUCCCGGUGUAGUGGUGAAAUGCGUAGAUAUCGGGAGGAACACCAGUGGCGAAGGCGACUUCCUGGCCUGUUCUUGACGCUGAGGCGCGAAAGCGUGGGUAGCAAACAGG